AGAUCAUGAUGUGGGCAGUUCCUUAGUAAGCCUUUGUACCUUUCCCAUGCCUCAUAUAGUGACUCUCCUGCUUGUUGCUCAAAGUUUGCUAUGGCCUUCUUUAACUU